CCUGUUGCUGCAGUAGCCGAUUUCCUUCCCCCGUCACUUCCCACCUCUUCUCUCUCACGUACACAAACGGUCAGACGCCCUCACAAACGCACACACGCGCGCGCAAGUAUUUACACACUGCCACAUCGAAGAAAUCCGUACACAUUUUCCUGCUAAUAUACUAGCGCGCGCACACGCACUUCUCAGGCGCCCAGGUCUUCUGUCCAUCACAGACAGAAACAUUUACACACGUAGGCCAGGAAAGCGCUAACCGCGGUACUGUGACUCCACGGAGGUCCCCAGGACACGCCUUUUACAUGGUUAUUGAACCGAUCAGCGAACACAGACAAACGUGCCAACCCUUAAAUCUACUCUCUGGAUUUCAUCUCCAUGGCAACAAGCAUGGAAGGCCAAGAGGUGACUUCGGCAGGAAUUCUGAAGACCCA
rnacentral:lncRNA from 1 species